rnacentral:lncRNA from 1 species
ACUGGAGGCAUAAAAUUGGAAUCCUAACUUCCAAUAUCAAAUUUGAGCACAAACCCUAUAAAAUGUAUCUUGUCAGAAUGUGCCAGAACCGCUAAGCUCUUUUCGGCGGAACAAAUUGCAGCUGGUGUCCUUAAAGGUCGAGAAUCAAACUUGCUGUAUCCUCAGGGUUUAGGCAGCAAAUUGGUCCCAGUUUUCACCCUGCCGCAGGGCUGGCUGGGGAGGGCAGCGGUUUAGAUUAGCCGUGGCCUAGGCCGUUUGACGGGGUGACACGAGCCUGCAGGGCCGAGUCCAAGGCCCGGAGAUAGGACCAACCGUCAGGAAUGCGAGGAAUGUUUUUCUUCGGACUCUAUCGAGGCACACAGACAGACCAUGGGGAUUCUGUCUACAGUGACAGCCUUAACAUUUGCCAGAGCCCUGGACGGCUGCAGAAAUGGCAUUGCCCACCCUGCAAGUGAGAAGCACAGACUCGAGAAAUGUAGGGAACUCGAGAGCAGCCACUCGGCCCCAGGAUCAACCCAGCACCGAAGAAAAACAACCAGAAGAAAUUAUUCUUCAGCCUGAAAUGAAGCCGGGAUCAAAUGGUUGCUGAUCAGAGCCCAUAUUUAAAUUGGAAAAGUCAAAUUGAGCAUUAUUAAAUAAAGCUUGUUUAAUAUGUCUCAAACAGAAAA